CAGAGUCAGGAAGUAGUUAAGUGGAUGCUAAUAUCACGUUUUGAAGUCUUAUGAAGCGAUUGUGUUUUGAUCUGACAAAUCUUAAGUUAGGCCAAGUGUAGAAUUAUUACAGUUUCUGCGUGGACUGCGUCUCACGUCUCACCGGAGCUAACGGGUGACGCUGGGAACACCGAGCGUAGGAGGAAGCCGGAGUACCCGGAGAAAACCCACGCGCACACGGGGAGAACAUGCAAACUCCACACAGAAAUGCCCAGGGGAGUCGAACCCAGAUCUUCCAGAUCUCCAAGCUGUUACUGUGUUGGCCAACGUGCUAACCACUAGACCACCGUGUGGCCCAGUGUGGGAUUAGGACACUCACUCUGUUGUCAGAGCUGGGGAUCAUCGUAUCUGUCAUCCAGGAGCCGAACCUGGACCCAGACGCUCGCACCGUAAUGGGAUUACUGACGCCGGUGAGCUUCCCGCAACCUGCAGGUCAAAGCAGAGGUAGAGGAUGGAAGUGUGAAGAAUGCAUUAGGAGCCUGGGAGAGACGGCAAGACAAAGGGCUUGACAGACGAUCGCAGUUUGUGUUAGCUUGUAAGGAGAUAAACUGGAGAAGGAUGGGAAGAAAGGAACCACCUACAGUGGAACCUCAAAAGUAGAACCUCCUGACAUGAUGCCAUUGCAGCACUUAUUCUAAAUAGAAGGAGCGGCCUCAAACGAGGAGAGGAAAGAGAUGGAGAACAACGUUGUCAAUGUUAAGGUCUUGCUGCUUUUUCAUGUUCCUUCAAGAUCCUUCCCUAUGUCGCAGACACUCCAGGAGUAAACGGAGUAAAUGGACAAUUUGAAGGACAACUUGCCAAAAAGAAACGGAUAAUAAAAAUAUACGUACAGUGUGCAGCAUCAUGAGUUAUUUAUUUCACCAAUGUAAAAUAAUCAUGUGCUGCUUCCUCCUUUCCAGGCACUGCUGUUCUGUCCUUUGGCAAGACACUUCACCCACAAUGCCCCCAGGGUUGCCCACACACGGAUGCUUCACUGACCAAGAUGCUGACCUACGACCUGAAGGCGUAUUUUGCUGUACGAUGCAGGAUUAGAAGUGCUGCUUUGAAUAGACCACGAAGAUGGAAGUUCUGAAUAACUACAUAAGUACCAAUUUUUCCGGUGGUGAGUAGUUCUAUGUCGGCUGACUUUAGUAUUAACGUUCGAGCCUGACCAAUAAAAAGGCUUGUAACAUUGUCCAGAGGAGGCUGUGCCCCCAGGACUGGGACUGGGAGCUGCAAAUUCAAAGAUGAGAUUCACAUCCAAAGCUUCAGAGGUGCAUCCAAAAAUAUGAGAGUUGCAAGCAAAACUUCCAGCUGGGGCGCCCUCCACGCCCGGGUAGGGCCAGAGUCACCUCAUCGCCGAGCAGCUUUGACAGCACCGGGCGGGAAAACAGCAUCGAUUAAAUGCUUCCCACUUCCGCCACGCCGUCAAGCUCUCAUCUCUCAUUAGCUCGAAAUAAAAGCGGUGCUACUGGGAAGUAGGCUUUCAACACGGGGGGGAGGACAUCUGUCACAUUUAUGGUGGCGAGGAGAGGAUGCUCUGGGAUAAUAGUGGCAUGGAUCAUAGAAUUUUCAAGGAGGGGAUACAAAGCGGAGAGGAAGAGGACGAGCGUAUCCGCUGUCAUUCAGACGGGCCUUUCUGGGUACAAUACUCGAAAAAAUGGGAUAAGCAAAAUGUAAUUAACUCGACAGGAGAAGGGAAAAUUCCAGGUAGAGGAAACGUCUAUUCCUGUCCUCCUCUCCCCGAUACCUUUUGUCUUCUGAGGAAACUCUCAAUUAGCGGCAAUCUCCUCCACCCUUUUGUAUCUGGAGCGUGUAUCAGGAGCUGUGGGCACAACAGCUCAUAUUUAUAUUCCAAUCUUCUAGUCAGAAAGCCACAUUGGCAGCCUCAUAAAAGAUUCAUGGAGCGGGAAAGGCAAGGUCGCUCACACGAGUUUGGUCCGGAGGUGCCUAUAAUGCUGCAGUGCAGUCCCCCCCCCCCUUUUUUUGUUUGACAUUUCAAGGGACAAUACUGAGGAAAGUAAGCUUGGAUAUACUUUCGAGUAGUCAGUGUACAGCAUGUUUAUCAGCAUAGAUUUAC